UACGUAGGGCGCAAGCGUUGUCCGGAAUUAUUGGGCGUAAAGAGCUCGUAGGUGGUUUGUUACGUCCGCUGUGAAAACCUAGGGCUUAACCCUGGGCCUGCAGUGGAUACGGGCAGACUAGAGGUAGGUAGGGGAGAAUGGAAUUCCUGGUGUAGCGGUGAAAUGCGCAGAUAUCAGGAGGAACACCGGUGGCGAAGGCGGGUCUCUGGGCCGAUACUGACGCUGAGGAGCGAAAGCGUGGGGAGCGAACAGG
rnacentral:rRNA from 1 species